rnacentral:rRNA from 1 species
GAUGAACGCUGGCGGCGUGCCUAACACAUGCAAGUCGAGCGAUUCUCUUCGGAGAAGAGCGGCGGACGGGUGAGUAACGCGUGGGUAACCUGCCCUGUACACACGGAUAACAUACCGAAAGGUAUGCUAAUACGAGAUAAUAUACUUUUAUCGCAUGGUAGAAGUAUCAAAGCUCCGGCGGUACAGGAUGGACCCGCGUCUGAUUAGCUAGUUGGUAAGGUAACGGCUUACCAAGGCGACGAUCAGUAGCCGACCUGAGAGGGUGAUCGGCCACAUUGGAACUGAGACACGGUCCAA